GUGCGAGACCGAAUAGCGAACAAGUUACCGUUGAGGGAAAGAUGAAAAGAACUUUGAAAAGAGAGUUAAAGAGUACCUGAAACUGCUGAAAGGGAAGCGAAUCGUAUCCAGUGUCUAUAAUCUGCGGCAUAUUUCAUUGGCGGCAGUGUGCGUGCUUUUGCGUCGGAAGCGGCUUUUGUUGCUCUGUGCUUUUGCUGUGCGUGCUGUUGCUGGUGCCCUGUGUUGCGGUGGGACGUCAGAGUCAGUUCGUAUGCUGCGGGAAAUGGCCGCCGAGGAGGUAGGUCAGGACUUCGGUCUUGGCUGUUAUAUCUUGGUGGUUUGUUGUCGUGGUUGGGACUGAGGUGCCUACAAUGUGCCUUUGAGUGUGCCGGGUUCUCAUUUGGUGGACUGUUUGGAUAGCUUGCUAUGCUUGUGGUUUUUUCAUCGAGUGAUUGAGUCUGGUGGUAACUUGUUGCUGUUCGGGACUUUGAA
rnacentral:rRNA from 2 species